rfam:Ixodes scapularis strain Wikel colony gcontig_1108379510592, whole genome shotgun sequence.
UCCUGGUUAUCUCAGUUGGUAGAAUCCUCCACUGGAAAUGGAGAGGUCCCUGGUUCGAUACCAGCACCAGGCU